rnacentral:rRNA from 1 species
GACGAACGCUGGCGGCGUGCCUAAUACAUGCAAGUAGAACGCUGAGGUUUGGUGUUUACACUAGACUGAUGAGUUGCGAACGGGUGAGUAACGCGUAGGUAACCUGCCUCAUAGCGGGGGAUAACUAUUGGAAACGAUAGCUAAUACCGCAUAAGAGUAAUUAACACAUGUUAGUUAUUUAAAAGGAGCAAUUGCUUCACUGUGAGAUGGACCUGCGUUGUAUUAGCUAGUUGGUGAGGUAAAGGCUCACCAAGGCGACGAUACAUAGCCGACCUGAGAGGGUGAUCGGCCACACUGGGACUGAGACACGGCCCAGACUCCUACGGGAGGCAGCAGUAGGGAAUCUUCGGCAAUGGACGGAAGUCUGACCGAGCAACGCCGCGUGAGUGAAGAAGGUUUUCGGAUCGUAAAGCUCUGUUGUUAGAGAAGAACGUUGGUAGGAGUGGAAAAUCUACCAAGUGACGGUAACUAACCAGAAAGGGACGGCUAACUACGUGCCAGCAGCCGCGGUAAUACGUAGGUCCCGAGCGUUGUCCGGAUUUAUUGGGCGUAAAGCGAGCGCAGGCGGUUCUUUAAGUCUGAAGUUAAAGGCAGUGGCUUAACCAUUGUACGCUUUGGAAACUGGAGGACUUGAGUGCAGAAGGGGAGAGUGGAACUCCAUGUGUAGCGGUGAAAUGCGUAGAUAUAUGGAGGAACACCGGUGGCGAAAGCGGCUCUCUGGUCUGUAACUGACGCUGAGGCUCGAAAGCGUGGGGAGCAAACAGG